AAUAGAUACCCUGGUAGUCCACGCCGUAAACGAUGAGUGCUAAGUGUUGGGGGUUUCCGCCCCUCAGUGCUGCAGCUAACGCAUUAAGCACUCCGCCUGGGGAGUACGGUCGCAAGACUGAAACUCAAAGGAAUUGACGGGGGCCCGCACAAGCGGUGGAGCAUGUGGUUUAAUUCGAAGCAACGCGAAGAACCUUACCAGGUCUUGACAUCCCGGUGACCACUAUGGAGACAUAGUUUCCCCUUCGGGGGCAACGGUGACAGGUGGUACAUGGUUGUCGUCAGCUCGUGUCGUGAGAUGUUGGGUUAAGUCCCGCAACGAGCGCAACCCUUAUUCUUAGUUGCCAUCAUUCAGUUGGGCACUCUAAGGAGACUGCCGGUGAUAAACCGGAGGAAGGUGGGGAUGACGUCAAAUCAUCAUGCCCCUUAUGACCUGGGCUACACACGUGCUACAAUGGACGGUACAAACGGUUGCCAACCCGCGAGGGGAGCUAAUCCGAUAAAACCGUUCUCAGUUCGGAUUGUAGGCUGCAACUCGCUACAUGAACG
rnacentral:rRNA from 1 species